UCUAAAUCAUCCCAUUUUAUAUAUGUCAAUCAGAUAAUGACUUCUUCUAAACUAGGGCAGGCAAAAAUUAAGAAAAUUCCCACAGCCUUACAAGUUACAAAAUCACGUUUCUUAUCAUCAAAUAAGAGCAUUUAGCAUAACAAAACAAGAAUUGUGCAAGAGAACUCAACCCAAUGAGGCAUAAUCAAGCUGUAAUCCUUAUACAAGGGAACUCAAGUACUCAACUAUGCAAAGACUACGCUAACAAAUAUAACAGAGCAUCAUAUGCAAAACUAAUACACCAGGUUUUCCUCUUACUGGAAAAAAUCUUUAUAUGAUCUCUAAGGUGUAAGUAAAGCUGCCCUAGCACACAGAUUUAUAGUGAAAUUAAUUACAAUCCACAUAAAGUCCCUUCCCUGCUUUCCUAAAAAUCAAAUACGACCAAUAAUCUAAUUAGCAACGUAAGAAUUGUACACAGAGUGUAAGAUUAGAUGGAGCGACGGCAAGAGAGACAGUGAGACGCUGAUUGACAGAGAGGGGGUAGCGACGGGGAGCGAGAGGGGUAGCUAUGGGGAGCAGAGAGAAGUAGCGACAAGAGAGGUUUUGCUAUUAAAUUAAUUUCAAAGAGCGUUUUAAAUAUAAAUGAAUUGAAUCAUCUCAAUUGCCACAUGCCCACAUCAUUAUCAUAAUCAAGAGAUGGUUAUUAAGCUACAA
rnacentral:misc_RNA from 1 species